GCUAAGUGGCGCCGUGGAAGCGUGCUGGGCCCAUAACCAAGAGGUUGAUGGAUCAAAGCCAUCGUCUGCCGGGCAGCA